UUCUUUUAUAACGUCUUGAUUUGGGUAUUGUGAUGAAGUUAUGUUUUCUGGUUCGGGCUCCUGAAUCUGAUUCUCUAGAAGUGCCAACCGCUCAAUUGCUUCACUAUGUCCUGCUUUAGCAGCCUCAUUAUACCAGUAUGUUGCCUGUUCUGUAUUACCUCUUGUAUCGAAUAAAUAACCCAUCAGGAAUUGAGCAUUAGCAUUACCAGCCAUAGAGGCUCUUUCAGCAUGCAUAAAGGCUAAAUCCUCAUCAACGGGUAUACCAUCCGAGCCGUUCAGGUACCAUUUUGCAACCGCGAGAUCAGCUUCUGUUUCCCCCCUUUUAGCGGCAGCACUGUAAUAGAACAAAGAAUAUCGAGGAACGACAGGGCAGCCGUAUUUUCCGAACUCAUAGACAGCUCCCAUUCGUAAUUGAGCCGAUGAAUGACCCAAAAAAGCAGCUUUCGCAAAACUUUUAAGUGCAGUUGCUUCAUCUAUGGGAACUCUAAUAUUUUCAGACCCUAAAUCUACUAAUCCAGGAUGUUCAUGAAGAUUCACCAAAGCAUGACUAUACAGUCCGGAUGGAACAUCGGCAUCAGCUGUAUCUGCGCUUCGUUCGAGAAGUUCUAGUCCACUAGCGUGCCUGUGUGCAUAUUCUCCAACACCGUCCAACAUCCCUUCCAAAAUUAAAAGCGAUAGUCUCCAACAGCAUGCACUGUCAUUCUCUGAAACACCCUUUUCAAAAUAUUCGACGGCUUCUUCUAGGUUACCUUGAUCUUCCAAUAACACUCCUAAUCUGUACAAGCUUCGUGUAUAGCCUAGAUUAGCAGAAGAAGAGUAUAAGUCCCAGGCCCGCUGGAUAUCAGACUCUACAUCAAAGGCACCUGUCUCGUAGACAUAGGCAUCGAAAUACAUUGCUUUAGCAUUCUCUAACUCUGAAAAUUCUCGAAUUUUAUAGAGCGCGUUUUCGCACAUUGAUUCCAAAUAAUUAAUUUCAUGGAGGUUUUCGCUUUCAUAUGUUUGAAGAUAUGGUAGAUGAGAUUGGGUAAAUCGAAGGACGUAUUCUGCCCACUCCAAUGCUUCGUCAAUGUCUUGAGAAUGUACAAGGUCUUCAUUGGCGCGAAUCCAAUCAAGUUGCUCUUCAUCGGAUACUGGUAAGGGAAAAGGUAAAUCCGCUACUACCUGCUUUUGCAAUGGGGAUCCGUUAUUCGGUUUAGGGUUGUGAUUAGAAAAAUGUGCCUCUUCAUGAGGGAAUACAACGUCCGCGGCUUCAUUAGAUGUACGUAAAUAUCCUGGGGCAACACAUGGUGUAGAAUGAGAGCGAGUUGCUGAAGGAGCUGAGUUUCUAAUAUUCGGCAAAGGACGGUCCCGUUUUGUUUCUUGUGAGCUGGUAGCGCGUUUAAUAGUUAAAAGAAUGCUAGAAGAGGAUACGUUCGGUCGUGAAUAAAAAUUCUCUUUUUUCAUGUUGGUUACAGAGGCACUCAAACUUUGUGUAUCGUUCAUUUCCGGUGCAAUCAUGUCGCCAAUACCGUAGGCAGGUCCAAUGGCAUCUGUUUCAAAGGGAAUGCUAGAUUGAACAUUGGAGAGGUAAAAAGCAUUUAUUCGUGAGGCAACUUGAGGAUCGGUUAUAGAAUGCCCAAUUGAGGACCUGUUUCUGCUUUUGAUACCGCGUAUAUUGUUCACCGACUGAGAAGAAUAUGAAAAUUCCGGCACACCCAAGGGGCUUCUAUUUCGCAUAGAAGAUGCUGAAUCCAUUUAAUGGACUUUUUAGGAGAAUAGUCAGAUUAGCAAAAGAAAACUCGUGUAACGU